GACGAACGCUGGCGGCGUGCUUAACACAUGCAAGUCGAACGGAAAGGCCCUGCUUUUGUGGGGUGCUCGAGUGGCGAACGGGUGAGUAACACGUGAGUAACCUGCCCUUGACUUUGGGAUAACUUCAGGAAACUGGGGCUAAUACCGGAUAGGAGCUCCUGCUGCAUGGUGGGGGUUGGAAAGUUUCGGCGGUUGGGGAUGGACUCGCGGCUUAUCAGCUUGUUGGUGGGGUAGUGGCUUACCAAGGCUUUGACGGGUAGCCGGCCUGAGAGGGUGACCGGCCACAUUGGGACUGAGAUACGGCCCAGAAUCCUACGGGAGGCAGCAGGGGGGAAUAUUGCACAAUGGGCGGAAGCCUGAUGCAGCAACGCCGCGUGCGGGAUGCCGGCCUUCGGGUUGUAAACCGAUUUCGCCUGUGACGAAGAGUGAGUGACGGUAAUGGGUAAAGAAGCACCGGCUAACUACGUG
rnacentral:rRNA from 1 species